UUCCGUAAGUUACAAGUAGUUUUAGACUUCGAUUGGGAUUACGAAAAGAUUGCGUUACGUACGGUGAGAAAUUACGAUUGAAAAAUAGUCUGUUUAUUUUCGAACGUAAUAUUGCAUUCCGCAUAGGAUAACGCAGAAACAUAUCCCUACAUACUUUUUUUUCUAACUCCAUUUUAUCUGACAGCAUUAGAUAAAUCUCAAUACCAAAUUAAGCAUUAAUAUUUUUCAUAUCUAUUAUUCACGUGAUUUUGUACC
rnacentral:lncRNA from 1 species